GGAGACAUGGCUUAGUGGUAGAGCACCUGCUUUGCAAACAAAAGGCUCUAAGUUCAAAUCCUAAUUCCACCU
rnacentral:tRNA from 1 species